rnacentral:rRNA from 1 species
UGGGAACGUGCCCAAAGGUACGGAACAACUCCGGGGAACUGGAGCUAAUACCGUAUGUGCCCGAAAGGGGAAAGAUUCAUCGCCUUUGGAUCGGCCCGCGUCUGAUUAGCUAGUUGGCGGGUAAUGGCCCACCAAGGCGACGAUCAGUAGCUGGUCUGAGAGGAUGACCAGCCACACUGGGACUGAGACACCGGCCCAGACUCCGUACGGGAGGCAG